rnacentral:rRNA from 1 species
CCUACGGGCGGCAGCAGUAGGGAAUAUUGGUCAAUGGGGGAAACCCUGAAGCAGCAACGCAGCGUGGAGGAUGAAGGUUCUAGGAGUUUAAAACCCCUUUGAGAGAGGAAUAAAUGACGGUAACUGACGAAUAAGCUCCGUCUAACUACGUUCCAGCAGCCGCGGUAAUACGGAGGAAGCCAGGGUUAUACGGAAUCACUGGGCGUUAAGGGGGCGUAGGCGGGUUUGUAAGUCAGAUGUGAAAUCGUGUGGCUUAACUUCAGAACUGCAGUUGAAACCGUGAGUCUAGAGUAUAGGAGAGGUAGGUGGAAUUCGUGGUGUAGGGGUGAAAUCCGUAGAUAUCAAGAGGAAUACUGAUUGCGAAGGCGGCCUACUGGAACGUUACUGACGCUGAUGCACGAAAGCGUGGGGAGCAAACAGGAUUAGAUACCCCUGUAGUC